GACGAACGCUGGCGGCGUGCCUAAUACAUGCAAGUCGAACGAGAGCGACCGGUGCUUGCACUGGUCAAUCUAGUGGCGAACGGGUGAGUAACACGUGGGUAACCUGCCCAUCAGAGGGGGAUAACAUCCGGAAACGGAUGCUAAAACCGCAUAGGUCUUCGAACCGCAUGGUUUGAAGAGGAAAAGAGGCGCAAGCUUCUGCUGAUGGAUGGACCCGCGGUGCAUUAGCUAGUUGGUGAGGUAACGGCUCACCAAGGCCGUGAUGCAUAGCCGACCUGAGAGGGUGAUCGGCCACAUUGGGACUGAGACACGGCCCAAACUCCUACGGGAGGCAGCAGUAGGGAAUCUUCCGCAAUGGACGCAAGUCUGACGGAGCAACGCCGCGUGAGUGAAGAAGGUUUUCGGAUCGUAAAACUCUGUUGAUAGAGAAGAACAAGUGCUAGAGUAACUGUUAGCGCCUUGACGGUAUCUAACCAGAAAGCCACGGCUAACUACGUG
rnacentral:rRNA from 1 species